GCGGGCGUAGUUCAAUGGCAGAACCUUAGUUUUCCAAACUAAUGACGUGGGUUCGAUUCCCAUCGCCCGCU
rnacentral:tRNA from 1 species